rnacentral:rRNA from 1 species
UACGUAGGGGGCAAGCGUUGUCCGGAUUUAUUGGGCGUAAAGAGCGUGUAGGCGGCCACACAGGUCAGCUGUGAAAACUCGAGGCUCAACCUCGAGACGUCGGUUGAAACCGUAUGGCUAGAGUCCGGAAGAGGAGAGUGGAAUUCCCGGUGUAGCGGUGAAAUGCGCAGAUAUCGGGAGGAACACCUGUGGCGAAGGCGGGUCUCUGGGCCGAUACUGACGCUGAGGAGCGAAAGCGUGGGGAGCGAACGAGG